rnacentral:rRNA from 1 species
AUUGAACGCUGGCGGCAGGCCUAACACAUGCAAGUCGAGCGGAUGAAGGGAGCUUGCUCCUGGAUUCAGCGGCGGACGGGUGAGUAAUGCCUAGGAAUCUGCCUGGUAGUGGGGGAUAACGUCCGGAAACGGGCGCUAAUACCGCAUACGUCCUGAGGGAGAAAGUGGGGGAUCUUCGGACCUCACGCUAUCAGAUGAGCCUAGGUCGGAUUAGCUAGUUGGUGGGGUAAAGGCCUACCAAGGCGACGAUCCGUAACUGGUCUGAGAGGAUGAUCAGUCACACUGGAACUGAGACACGGUCCAGACUCCUACGGGAGGCAGCAGUGGGGAAUAUUGGACAAUGGGCGUAAGCCUGAUCCAGCCAUGCCGCGUGUGUGAAGAAGGUCUUCGGAUUGUAAAGCACUUUAAGUUGGGAGGAAGGGCGGUAAGUUAAUACCUUGCUGUUUUGACGUUACCAACAGAAUAAGCACCGGCUAACUUCGUG